AAAGAGAACACCUAGGCAACGAUCCUGCAUGGUGGAACUGUAGUACCGUUGACUUGGAGGGAGAAAGACACAGGAGUAGCAACACUUGAGGGAGGAAAGGCCAAAAUUUCAAUUUUGUUCAAGUUGAGUUUAAGGAAGCGGGCAGCUAUCCGGUUAGAAAUAGCAGAGAGGCAGUCAGAGACAGUAGUCAAGAGGGGCAGGGAGAGAUCAGAAGAGGACAGCUAGAUUUGCGUGUCAUCCAAAU